rnacentral:ncRNA from 2 species
UUGAAUAUCGGUCUCCGAGUCCCCAGGCCUAAGUCUCUUCAGGAUACGGCCGCCGGACCGGUGGUUCACCGGAAGGUGAACCCGAGGGUAGCGCUGGAAACAGCACUGCCUCCCGCGAUUUGGAAAGGAGAAAAGCCAUGACGGGA